UGGGGGAUAUUGGUCAAUGGGGGAAACCCUGAACCAGCGACGCCGCGUGAGGGAAGACGGUUUUCGGAUUGUAAACCUCUGUCUUCGGGGACGAUAAUGACGGUACCCGAGGAGGAAGCCACGGCUAACUACGUGCCAGCAGCCGCGGUAAUACGUAGGUGGCAAGCGUUGUCCGGAAUUACUGGGUGUAAAGGGAGCGUAGGCGGGAUUGUAAGUUGGAUGUUAAAUCUACGGGCUUAACCCGUAUCAGCAUUCAAAACUGCGAUUCUUGAGUGAAGUAGAGGCAGGCGGAAUUCCUAGUGUAGCGGUGAAAUGCGUAGAUAUUAGGAGGAACACCAGUGGCGAAGGCGGCCUGCUGGGCUUUUACUGACGCUGAGGCUCGAAAGCAUGGGUAGCAAACAGG
rnacentral:rRNA from 1 species